UAGUACCUUAUGAAUUGAAUGCGUAUGAUUUUGUUUCUUCUUUCCAUCUGCGAUCAUUCUGUAGUAUAUAUCAGAAUCUUUAUCUUUCAUUCCAUUCGAUUGACUUAUUUUUAUUGGCUUUGUAGGCGGGCUUGCGUACGGCUCAUCUGAUGGUAAGUAGUCACCGUUGCUCAUGGACAUCAGCAAUGCCAGGAGCACAGCCAAGUCGCUGACUGCUGAAGACUCCGUAAGCCACAUGAUGUUGAAGACGCCUUCUGCAUGCUGUAUACUUGUGUACUUGUAUACUUGUCACGUUUGAAGGUGCACCGCAAUUUGAAGUAAAGAAAUUCCAUUUCAUUUAUGUUAUUUAUUCACCAUGUUCUCUACCGAUACCAUUUUUAUAUAGUUAAGUAAUGUAUCAAGUAGAUCUAAGUAAUCUAAAAUAGUACGUUUUAUUUAGUGAAACGUCUAUAUUGACUGGGGUGUAUACAGCGUGUGCCACAAUGGGAUAGUCAAGCAAAAACCUGGCUGUGGUAUCAACAAUGUAGAUCACAUUAAAAAUGUUUAAAAAAAUCAAAGAUGUAAUUUGACAUAAAAAAUAAUUUAGUAAUUAUUUAAAGUAUUCGAUGACAGCCCUGAAUUUUUACACAAUAAAAAUACUGUUUAGCCGUUCUGCAAUUAAAUGCAUCAGAACGAGAUAGACAAUAACGAAUUCGUUCAACUCAUUUCAAACAAUUAAUACGUCAAAAAAAUGCAACCGUAUCACUAGGUGCAUAAGGUUCAAAAACUCAAAAGAAAUUUUUAACUCGCCGUGCGAAUGUUACUAAAUAUCAUCCUUAUUGAAAAGACAAAAUAAGCUGUUUGGCGUGGCGGUGUCUUAAUGUGUGUAUUUUUAUAGUACAUAUUUCCAUCGGCUGACAUCACACGCAUGGUUCAAAUGUUUGAGUUCAAAGAACCUACUAUAGGCUGGCCGAAUUAUCGCGUUUACACUUUUUUUUCGUAUUACUUCUGCCUUCCGAAAACAAGAUAUUAGAAUUUCUGGGAUUCUUACAAUUUUUAUUUAUUAAUAGAUGUUAUCAAUUAUGUUUUAAAAAUUACAUCUCUUGAUAUAAGGCCGCCCUUAUUUUUAAUACGACUCAUAUAACGGCACCUGACGUAAAACAUAAUUCUAGGGUCAUCAGAAGAAUAGUUAGUUCGUUGUGUUCAAAUAUUAUUUAAUAUGAAACUAUUUUCAUUACUACUGACUUCGAUCAACAAUACUAACUAGAUUUCGGGUCGGUGCAUAAAAUCCGUCUCGUCAAAUAACAGCUCACUUGAAAUGUGAGCUCUUAUUUUGUUUAGUUCACUUCAAACACAGCCAAUGUCAACCCGUCUCACAAUACCGCAGUAUGUAUUUAAAAGUUGCAAAAAUUAGGCCCGAAAAAGCAAUUUAACGGCCGGAGUAUCUUACUUUCGCUUUCCUAGCAAUCACGUGUGCAGAAUGGAUCUCGAUUGUCGCCAGAGAAACAAGAGAUGACUUUUAUAAGCCAGCUAAGAUCUCCGCUUAUUGACACUGGACAUCUUUGCCUUCCGUGCUCACGGCUACUGAAACGUGGCCAAAACAUUGUAAUAAAAAUACCGCGCUUGAAACCGUUUAAA